CUCUCCUUAGAGCAAGGCCUUAGGAGCUCCUCCCUGAAUGUUUCUAACUUCAAGUCAGAACUCCUUCACGCCGACGAGCUAUUCAGCUGCAACCGAGGCAGCCUGGGGUAGCACUGCCAGCGACAGCCUCUCCGCUUCUUGCUCUAUGCCAAGAAAGUCUUUCUAAGAGGCGAACCUCUCUAAAAUUGGAAAGGGGACCAACGUGAGACCAUUUCAUUACAAUCUCCACCUGCAGUAGCCUCUCGGGAAGAACAGACACCUCUGAAAGAAUCACUUGAAGUGGAUUUCUUGGGAAAAUCUGAUCUGUGAACCUUGCUCUCUAAUUACCGCUGGGAGAACAUGAGUGAGUGGUUUUGCUCUGGCAUAUGCUGCCCACCGCUGCUACCUGGCACACCUACAUCAGGGGCCUAAAAGCAACAGGUGCAUCUCCUGUGAACUGAAAUUUCUAAGACUGUGAACCAAAGGAAAUAAUGGGAUCCAGGAGGUCUUCAGGAAAGAAGACGGGAAACCAUGCUCAAGGCUGGACCGGCAACACUACGAUGUGACCACAGUUAGAAUGACCAUGAAGAACUGUGUACAGUCUUAGUAACAGUGAUCCGGGAGGCAAGACUGGGAACAAACCAUGGAACUAGGCAUCAGGUUGGAAUGACUGUAAAUCUAAGCCGUAUGAUCUGCUGGUACGUAGUUCUGCUGACUAAUCUUCUUGACACUCAGGGUCUUUAAUUUGUGUGUGUGGUGGCACCAUACCAUAGUGUCAUUUUGAGGACUGGAGGAAAUUCUUGUGUAAAGUACCCAGAGCAAGUACUGGCGCUCAGUGAGUGGCAGUAUCAGGGUUUUACUCACACUUUGCUGUGCUGCAGUGACUUUUCAAACAUCCCAGUGAUGCAGACUAUGUCACCCGAACUUUACGACUCCUCAUCCAUCAAUACUUGUUGAGUUAGAUUUAUAGGAAAUCAUUUCAUGGUUGAAAUGCUAUAGAUUACUAACUUCCCUUUGAUGAUUCUUUAAAGGUUGGAAGAUAGUUAGCAGUCCUUUUAACGCAGAAGCUCAGAGAAAAAUGGUGCCACUAUCUUUUUUGGGG